GAGUUUGAUCCUGGCUCAAGACGAACGCUGGCGGCGUGCCUAAUACGUGCAAGUCGAGCGAGCUUGCCUAGAUGAUUUUAGUGCUUGCACUAAAUGAAACUAGAUACAAGCGAGCGGCGGACGGGUGAGUAACACGUGGGUAACCUGCCCAAGAGACUGGGAUAACACCUGGAAACAGAUGCUAAUACCGGAUAACAACACUAGACGCAUGUCUAGAGUUUGAAAGAUGGUUCUGCUAUCACUCUUGGAUGGACCUGCGGUGCAUUAGCUAGUUGGUAAGGUAACGGCUUACCAAGGCAAUGAUGCAUAGCCGAGUUGAGAGACUGAUCGGCCACAUUGGGACUGAGACACGGCCCAAACUCCUACGGGAGGCAGCAGUAGGGAAUCUUCCACAAUGGACGAAAGUCUGAUGGAGCAACGCCGCGUGAGUGAAGAAAGGUUUCGGCUCGUAAAGCUCUGUUGGUAGUGAAGAAAGAUAGAGGUAGUAACUGGCCUUUAUUUGACGGUAAUUACUUAGAAAGUCACGGCUAACUACGUGCCAGCAGCCGCGGUAAUACGUAAGUGGCAAGCGUUGUCCGGAUUUAUUGAGCGUAAAGCGAG
rnacentral:rRNA from 1 species